rnacentral:rRNA from 1 species
GAUGAACGCUGGCGGCGUGCCUAAUACAUGCAAGUCGAGCGAACAGACGAGGAGCUUGCUCCUCUGACGUUAGCGGCGGACGGGUGAGUAACACGUGGAUAACCUACCUAUAAGACUGGGAUAACUUCGGGAAACCGGAGCUAAUACCGGAUAAUAUAUUGAACCGCAUGGUUCAAUAGUGAAAGACGGUUUUGCUGUCACUUAUAGAUGGAUCCGCGCCGCAUUAGCUAGUUAGUAAGGUAACGGCUUACCAAGGCAACGAUGCGUAGCCGACCUGAGAGGGUGAUCGGCCACACUGGAACUGAGAAACGGUCCAGACUCCUACGGGAGGCAGCAGUAGGGAAUCUUCCGCAAUGGGCGAAAGCCUGACGGAGCAACGCCGCGUGAGUGAUGAAGGUCUUCGGAUCGUAAAACUCUGUUAUUAGGGAAGAACAAAUGUGUAAGUAACUAUGCACGUCUUGACGGUACCUAAUCAGAAAGCCACGGCUAACUACGUG